UAGGGAAUCUUCCACAAUGGGCGAAAGCCUGAUGGAGCAACGCCGCGUGUGUGAUGAAGGCUUUCGGUCGUAAAGCACUGUUGUAUGGGAAGAACAGCUAGAAUAGGAAAUGAUUUUAGUUUGACGGUACCAUACCAGAAAGGGACGGCUAAAUACGUGCCA
rnacentral:rRNA from 1 species